rnacentral:rRNA from 1 species
UACGGGGGGGGCAAGCGUUGUUCGGAAUUACUGGGCGUAAAGGGCUCGUAGGUGGCCAACUAAGUCAGACGUGAAAUCCCUCGGCUUAACCGGGGAACUGCGUCUGAUACUGGAUGGCUUGAGUUCGGGAGAGGGAUGCGGAAUUCCAGGUGUAGCGGUGAAAUGCGUAGAUAUCUGGAGGAACACCGGUGGCGAAGGCGGCAUCCUGGACCGAUACUGAUACUGAGGAGCGAAAGCCAGGGGAGCAAACGGG